rnacentral:lncRNA from 1 species
ACUCUUGUCAACAUUGGCUCGGGCAGUAAUGCUGGCAAAGUAGAACGGUGGCAAAAUGGAACGCUGCUGGCAAAAUAGAACAGCACAGCAUAGGUUGCAGACCUCUUCGAUAUGGGCCAAUCGUACGCCCUGCCAAAUGGUGUUUGUGCAACUGAACGGCAGUGUUGCGACGUCGUGCGAUGCCUCUACUCGGGUCACAUGACCCAGAGCUGUUGAGGUGCACUCUACUGAUGUCACGAGGGUUAAAAAAGGAUGUCAAUUUGUGUGGAGCUGCAGUAUGUCCAUAUCUACUGGCAACACUGCAGUGGUGCCACCCGUCAGUUUAGAAGCUGGGCCAUUCCAGGGUACAUGCACAAAUUUCUGCAAAUUCACCGGGUGUCGCCAUGGCAACCACUGUAUGCACAUACAGUGCAGGGCAGGCUUUCCAGCUCAGCUUGAUCCAGGGUACCAUGUUGGA